GAUGAACGCUGGCGGCGUGCCUAAUACAUGCAAGUCGAGCGAACAGACGAGGAGCUUGCUCCUCUGACGUUAGCGGCGGACGGGCGAGUAACACGUGGAUAACCUACCUAUAAGACUGGGCUAACUUCGGGAAACCGGAGCUAAUACCGGAUAAUAUAUUGAACCGCAUGGUUCAAUAGUGAAAGACGGCUUUGCUGUCACUUAUAGAUGGAACCGCGCCGCAUUAGCUAGUUGGUAAGGUAACGGCUUACCAAGGCAACGAUGCGUAGCCGACCUGAGAGGGUGAUCGGCCACACUGGAACUGAGACGCGGUCCAGACUCCUACGGGAGGCAGCAGUAGGGAAUCUUCCGCAAUGGGCGAAAGCCUGACGGAGCAACGCCGCGUGAGUGAUGAAGGUCUUCGGAUCGUAAAACUCUGUUAUUAGGGGAGAACAAAUGUGUAAGUAACUAUGCACGUCUUGACGGUACCUAAUCAGAAAGCCACGGCUAACUACGUG
rnacentral:rRNA from 1 species